rnacentral:rRNA from 1 species
AGUGAACGCUGGCGGCAGGCCUAACACAUGCAAGUCGAGCGGCAGCGGGUCCUUCGGGAUGCCGGCGAGCGGCGGACGGGUGAGGAAUGCGUCGGAAUCUGCCUUUUUGUGGGGGAUAACGUAGGGAAACUUACGCUAAUACCGCAUACGACCUACGGGUGAAAGUGGGGGACCGCAAGGCCUCACGCAGAAAGAUGAGCCGACGCCGGAUUAGCUAGUUGGCGGGGUAAAGGCCCACCAAGGCGACGAUCCGUAGCUGGUCUGAGAGGAUGAUCAGCCACACUGGAACUGGGACGCGGGCCAGACUCCUACGGGAGGCAGCAGUGGGGAAUAUUGGACAAUGGGCGCAAGCCUGAUCCAGCCAUGCCGCGUGUGUGAAGAAGGCCUUCGGGUUGUAAAGCACUUUUGUCCGGAAAGAAAUCCAAUCGAUUAAUACUCGGUUGGGAUGACGGUACCGGAAGAAUAAGCACCGGCUAACUUCGUGCCAGCCGCCGCGGUAAUAC